rnacentral:rRNA from 1 species
GACGAACGCUGUUCGGCGUGCUUAACACAUGCAAGUCGAACGGAAAGGCCCUGCUUUUGUGGGGUGCUCGAGUGGCGAACGGGUGAGUAACACGUGAGUAACCUGCCCUUGACUUUGGGAUAACUUCAGGAAACUGGGGCUAAUACCGGAUAGGAGCUCCUGCUGCAUGGUGGGGGUUGGAAAGUUUCGGCGGUUGGGGAUGGACUCGCGGCUUAUCAGCUUGUUGGUGGGGUAGUGGCUUACCAAGGCUUUGACGGGUAGCCGGCCUGAGAGGGUGACCGGCCACAUUGGGACUGAGAUACGGCCCAGACUCCUACGGGAGGCAGCAGUGGGGAAUAUUGCACAAUGGGCGGAAGCCUGAUGCAGCAACGCCGCGUGCGGGAUGACGGCCUUCGGGUUGUAAACCGCUUUCGCCUGUGACGAGGCGUGAGUGACGGUAAUGGGUAAAGAAGCACCGGCUAACUACGUGCCAGCAGCCGCGGUGAUACGUAGGGUGCGAGCGUUGUCCGGAUUUAUUGGGCGUAAAGGGCUCGUAGGUGGUUGAUCGCGUCGGAAGUGUAAUCUUGGGGCUUAACCCUGAGCGUGCUUUCGAUACGGGUUGACUUGAGGAAGGUAGGGGAGAAUGGAAUUCCUGGUGGAGCGGUGGAAUGCGCAGAUAUCAGGAGGAACACCAGUGGCGAAGGCGGUUCUCUGGGCCUUUCCUGACGCUGAGGAGCGAAAGCGUGGGGAGCGAACAGGCUUAGAUACCCUGGUAGUCCACGCUGUAAACGGUGGGUACUAGGUGUGGGGUCCAUUCCACGGGUUCCGUGCCGUAGCUAACGCUUUAAGUACCCCGCCUGGGGAGUACGGCCGCAAGGCUAAAACUCAAAGGAAUUGACGGGGCCCCGCACAAGCGGCGGAGCAUGCGGAUUAAUUCGAUGCAACGCGUAGAACCUUACCUGGGUUUGACAUGGAUCGGGAGUGCUCAGAGAUGGGUGUGCCUCUUUUGGGGUCGGUUCACAGGUGGUGCAUGGCUGUCGUCAGCUCGUGUCGUGAGAUGUUGGGUUAAGUCCCGCAACGAGCGCAACCCUUGUUCACUGUUGCCAGCACGUUAUGGUGGGGACUCAGUGGAGACCGCCGGGGUCAACUCGGAGGAAGGUGGGGAUGACGUCAAGUCAUCAUGCCCCUUAUGUCCAGGGCUUCACGCAUGCUACAAUGGCUGGUACAGAGAGUGGCGAGCCUGUGAGGGUGAGCGAAUCUCGGAAAGCCGGUCUCAGUUCGGAUUGGGGUCUGCAACUCGACCUCAUGAAGUCGGAGUCGCUAGUAAUCGCAGAUCAGCAACGCUGCGGUGAAUACGUUCCCGGGGCU